UGAACGCUGGCGGCGUGCUUAACACAUGCAAGUCGAACGGAACUACUCCAAUGAGAGUCUUCGGAAAGGAUUUGGUUUAGUUUAGUGGCGGACGGGUGAGUAACGCGUGGGUAACCUGCCCUAUACAGGGGGAUAACAGUUGGAAACGACUGUUAAUACCGCAUAAGCGCACAGGAGCGCAUGCUCCGGUGUGAAAAACUCCGGUGGUAUAGGAUGGACCCGCGUCUGAUUAGCUGGUUGGCGGGGUAACGGCCCACCAAGGCGACGAUCAGUAGCCGGCCUGAGAGGGUGAACGGCCACAGUGGGACUGAGACACGGCCCAAACUCCUACGGGAGGCAGCAGUGGGGAAUAUUGCACAAUGGGGGAAACCCUGAUGCAGCGACGCCGCGUGAGCGAAGAAGUAUCUCGGUAUGUAAAGCUCUAUCAGCAGGGAAGAAAAUGACGGUACCUGACUAAGAAGCCCCGGCUAACUACGUG
rnacentral:rRNA from 1 species